AUAAUACUCCCUCCGUCCGGAAUUACUUGUCAUCAAAAUGGAUGUGUCUAGAACUAAAAUACAUCUAGAUACAUCCAUUUCAAUGACAAGUAUUUUCGGAUGGAGGGAGUAGUAG
rnacentral:pre_miRNA from 1 species